rfam:Ictidomys tridecemlineatus contig071241, whole genome shotgun sequence.
UGUGGUUGGUUCAGCGGUAGAAUGCUCGCCUAUCAUGUGAGAGGCACUGGGUUCAAUCCUCAGCACCACAU